UUACUUGGAUAACUGUGGUAAUUCUAGAGCUAAUACAUGCACCGAAGUUGUUCCUCGCGGAGCAAUGCAUUUAUUUGAGCAAAACCAGGCGGCUUCGGCCGUUUCUGUUGAAUCAGAAUAACUAAGCUGAUCGCAUGGGCUUGUCCCGGCGACGUGUCUUUCAAGUGUCUGCCUUAUCAACUUUCGAUGGUAGUGUACGUGACUACCAUGGUGUUGACGGGUAACGGAGGAUAAGGGUUCGACUCCGGAGAAGGGGCCUGAGAAAUGGCCACUACGUCUAAGGAUGGCAGCAGGCGCGCAAAUUACCCACUCUCGGUUCGAGGAGGUAGUGACGAAAAAUAACAAGGCCGUUCUCUUUGAGGCCGGCCAUUGGAAUGGGUACAACUUAAACCCUUUAACGAGUAUCAAUGAGAGGGCAAGUCUGGUGCCAGCAGCCGCGGUAAUUCCAGCUCUCAAAAUGCAUAGAACCAUUGCUGCGGUUAAAAAGCUCGUAGUUGGAUCUGUGCCGGCGACGUGGUCCGCCCUAACGGGAGGUACUGCGCUCGUCGGCUUUGGGCCGGUUUUCGGUCGGUCGCCUUAACUGGCGGCCGCUCGUGGCUGGCUGGUUUACUUUGAGCAAAUCAGAGUGCUCAGCACAGGCGUCUCGCCGGAAUGUUCGUGCAUGGAAUAAUAGAAAAGGAUUUCGGUCCUCUUUUAUUGGUUUUGUGGACUGAGAUAAUGGUUAACAGAGACGGACGGGGGCAUUCGUAUUGCUGCGUGAGAGGUGAAAUUCUUGGACCGCAGCAGGACGGACUACAGCGAAAGCAUU
rnacentral:rRNA from 1 species